CAACACGGUCCUUCUCUGAAAUAUCAUUACCGCAGUCACCAUGAACACUGGCGCUACAUUUGCAUUCUGUCUUGCUUUUGCCUAGACACAUUUCAAUUCAAUAUGACGACUAGGUUUGUUUAGCAUGUCAUUUAUUGAUGAUCAUACCGGGCGAACUAGUGAGGCAACCGCCAUUUUUCGUAUUUGAUAGCAUAAAUAUAAUAUCUGAGUAUAUGAUCAUAAUGUCAUGUAAAAAGAGGAGUGGGUCAUGCAUGCUUGUCUACAAUUUCCUCUUAAGUAUUAGCCGACAGAAGGCUCCAUCAAGUAAAUCAAGUUAAGCUGUCGAUCUGAUUUGUAAAGCUGCGAUUUUUUUGAUAAAACAUUUGAUAAUCGCACGCGUGUCUAUGCUUGCCGUGAUAAAGUGAAUCUGGCGACUAGACUGUCGAAACGCCUCUUGUGAUUCAAACACAUUAGACUGACGUGCAUUAUCAUGCCUCUGCCAGCUGUUGAUUCCUAAGACUUAAGUACUGAGCUAGUAUGGAUAGUUUGCAAUUAUCAACAGACCAUGUGGACAGUCAUCUUCAUCCCUGGCAUUCAGUUCUAAUGCAUAUUAUUUUGAUGCAAAGAUGUUUGAGUCUUGCAUUGCUCAAAUGUGCACAAUCCUGCUGGAAAAUACAGUUUAAGAUGGUCGAUGAGUGGUGGCAGCUUUAUUCUAGCUGGUGCAAACUGGUAGACCAUCAUUGGUCUGGGAACAAACAAGAAUAACCCAGUAAAAAUAUGAUAUGACUCAGCUACUAGCUUAAACUGGAUUUUCCAACUGGGAUGCAUGUUCAAGGGACCACAGCGCAUGUUUGCAUAUAUACUAUUUUGGUACCAGACAGAGGGGCUGCUAGGUUGGGGGCUGUGGAAUGAGGUAGUAGUUUGUAUAGUUUGGGAUCACAUCAGAUCUGGGAGAUAACUAUACAGCCUACUGUCUUUCUCACAGCUGCUCCCUCACAUCAGAUGACGAUGACGUACCUUCACAUGGGAUGUGUGGGAUAGCUGAAUAUAUUAUGCAUCUUUGCACUGUCUGCUGUCUGAGUGUGUAAAUGAAUAGUAGAUAAUUGGUGAUUGUCUCAUUGUGCAAAUUACUAUAGCUUAUCCCACAAAUAAAAAAUACCUAAGAUCUUGAUUUAGCUCAUAUGGUCUUUACUAUGGAAUGGUUAUGGAUGUUUAAAUGGUGGUGAGAAUUCAAACUGCCCUGUUUAUAUCCAAUAUGCUGUAACUAGAUUGCUAUGGUAUGUGAUUAUGUUCACUGCCAGUUUAUACAUGUAUCUUGUGUGAUAACUUAUGUUAUUAUUUUGUUUGUUUACAUCUGUUGUAAUUUCUAAAAGUAAAUUAAAAUAGACUCAUGUGUG